rnacentral:rRNA from 1 species
ACGCGAAGAACCUUACCUACUCUUGACAUCCAGAGAACUUAGCAGAGAUGCUUUGGUGCCUUCGGGAACUCUGAGACAGGUGCUGCAUGGCUGUCGUCAGCUCGUGUUGUGAAAUGUUGGGUUAAGUCCCGCAACGAGCGCAACCCUUAUCCUUUGUUGCCAGCGGUCCGGCCGGGAACUCAAAGGAGACUGCCAGUGAUAAACUGGAGGAAGGUGGGGAUGACGUCAAGUCAUCAUGGCCCUUACGAGUAGGGCUACACACGUGCUACAAUGGCGCAUACAAAGAGAAGCGAACUCGCGAGAGCAAGCGGACCUCAUAAAGUGCGUCGUAGUCCGGAUUGGAGUCUGCAACUCGACUCCAUGAAGUCGGAAUCGCUAGU